rnacentral:misc_RNA from 1 species
GAAAUUCGUGCAAAAACCCUCUUUUUUUGGGCAGUUUAAGAUUCCUUACCCUCCUUUUCAUACAAUUUUGAUCGUUACUACUUUGCUAUGGGGACACAAACUGUGACAAAACCAGACAACGGUCCACUACCUGAACCUGAGGUGGGUCCACACUUUUAUCUUCUCCAACGGCUACUUUCACUGUCCUCCAUAAAUACAGCCAACAGGCUUCUCUGCCACCUCAGUUUCAAGUCUCAAUCUUCGCUCUCUCAAGAAGUUGCAUACUCUCUCUCAAGAAGUUACAUACUCUCUCUCUUUAAGCGCUCCUCACUCCUCCAUGGCUCACUUUCUAAGAGUUGCAACUUCUUUUUUGUUGCUCAUGAUCACCCUGCUCUUCAGCUUCUCAGAAGCUAAAGAAAUUCUUGUUGGUGGGAAAACAGAUUCAUGGAAAAUCCCAUCUUCUCAAUCUGAUUCUCUCAACAAGUGGGCUGAAAGUGCUCGUUUUAGCAUCGGCGACACUCUUGUGUGGAAGUACGACAGUGAAAAGGACUCAGUGUUGCAAGUGAAUAGGGAAGCUUACCUGAGCUGCAACACCUCAAACCCAAUUGAAGAGUACAAGGAUGGAAACACCAAGGUGAAGCUUGAUCGAUCAGGGCCGUUCUAUUUCAUCAGUGGAGCAGAGGGACAUUGCGUGAAGGGCCAGAAGAUGAUUGUGGUUGUGCUUUCUCCAAGGCGCAGGUACACUGGUAUUUCUCCAGCUCCUUCUCCUGCAGAGUUUGAGGGUCCAGCAGUCGCCCCUACAAGUACCGCUACAAGCUUGAAAGGGAGCUUAGUAAUGUCACUAGGGAUUUUGCUUUGGGGUUUGUUUUAAUUGUGGAAGGGAAAUUUGGAUUUUUCCUUUUCUACUCAUUCUUUAUUCAUUUUGUUGGUUUUGAGCCUGGGUUUAUGGAGAGAUCGACAUCAAUAUAUGAUAUUCGUUUUACAUUUCUAUCUUUGCAUAUGUAGCGUUUGCUAUAAAGAAAUAUCUGUGCUCUUCAACAUUUCCAAGAAAAGUUUAUAAUGUUUACAAAGGCCCAACGUUAUAAAAUAACCAUUUUAUGCAAAGCUCGAAUACAAAAUUGAAGCCAUCCAAAUGUACAUCACUUCAACUCCUCAUUGAGGUUUGGUGGCAGCCCUAAACUUUGGGCAAGAUUGCUCAUUCUUUCCUUCAUCGCCUUGACACUCUUCAGGUGUGCAUCCUUAUAGGCUUCAGUGACCAGAAGAGAGAGUUUUUCAGCUCCUAGUUCCAUUGCAGCCUCAGUUAUCUCAAUGCUCACAGGUUGUUGGUUGCCAGAAAGUGUUGCCUUUAUUAGUUCAUCUUCACAAAAGCCAUCAAACUCAGCUGCUGCUAGUUCUUUCUGCACACGAACAGCCUCAACUUGGACUACCAUUUGUGCUUUCUUCACAGUUUCAUAUAGGUUUUGCAUAUUUCCCAGUAAUCCUGCCUUUGAUGGUGGUUUCUCAUCACCCUUGUCGUUAUUCUCCUUUUUCCCCCCAAAUAAACCAUUUAAAUUUAGGGAGCAUGACUGUUUCCCAAUCUCAUUUGGCCGUGAUGUAAACAAAGGUCUAACAUGAUUUGCAAAUGAGUUUACUUUGCAGAAGGAGAGAGAGGAAAAGGCAAGAUUUUUGUAGCGAGUGAGUGAGCGGCAGUUUCCUAGUUGUGGGGUUGAAGCGACGGUGGUUGUAGACGCCAUUUGAUUUUGAUGAAAAUAGAGGAUAACAGGCUCCUCGCACAGUUGCACUUUACUGGUUUUCACUGAAACAAAAGUAUCCCUCUCAACACCUUCAAUUCGAU